UCGAACUAACCGGUCCAAUCCGAUUUUCAAAACAAUGUAUCAUUUACUUUGAAUGACUGAAUGACACCACUUGCUACCUAAAUCAAACUAAAAUUUUUCUUUGUGAUUGCCAUCUCAACUUGCAUCUUAAGUUCCAUUUCGCUUCUCUAGCUAAUCCCUUGUCAAAUUGCAAAGCGUGUCUAGGAUUAAAAGCUUACUUGCAAAAUUCUACAUAUCCACAUUUUGUUAUGCUCCAUUAUUCAAUUAUCAAAAUGAAUAAUUGAGCAUUUGGUUGAUGGAGUGCUCUUCUUUCGACUCAAAAUGCCGCCAUUUCGACCCGUCCCCGAACUCUAACACUAGACAAAUGAUGAAUCAGUUGAGAAAACAUCUACGAGUUUUUGCAGAAUAAAGUAAAAUGUUAUUCAGCUAAAAAAGGAAUUAAAACUAUAUAUAUAUAUAUAUAUAUAUAUGUAUGUAUGUAUGUAUGUAUAUAGGUACAUAUUAGACCAGAAUGACGUGACGCUAAGACACAUUAGACCAGACUUAAUUGCCCCAAAUUCUAGGUUGAAUCGAAAAUGAGGUGUAUUGUCGAAAAGUGAAACCAAUUCCAAGGUGUUCCAGAGCUCAGAUAUCGGUUAGAGAAUAUUUUAAUUGGAAAAUCAUCAAAUUUUGUCUUGGUCAAUAUUGAAUCUUGGCUCAAGAUCAAUACUAAAAGUAAUCAAAAUACUAAGAUUGGUACUAACAAUUAUUAAAUAAUUACUAACACUGAUUGAAAAAAGGGUCCUUCUUAUCUUCUCUUCUGCAAAUUCUCAAAAUAAACUUGUCAUGUUAAAAAAAAAAAAAAAAUUUUAGAUGGAUGGAAAUAGAUGAAGAAAUAUUAAAUCGUCCCAUGUCGCGUUUGGAAUUUUGACCUUGGAGAUGAGGAUUUUUAAAAAGAAAACAAAUGACCAAUAGACAGAAAAGAUGAAAAGUGAAAGAAAUGAGAUGUUUUGUUGAAAAUCUCGGAGAUGAGGGUCUAAAAAAAAUGAACAUUGGACAGAUCUUACUAUCAAAAUACAAUCUUCAUCCCACUUCCCGCAUGGAUCUGAAUUGCACAGAUAAAACCUAGACUUGUGUGGAUCGUGAAAGACUAAAUACGUUUGUCAAAGUCGAAAUAAUGCAGUCUUAGACACUAGGGUACAUUUAUGUUCGCAAUAUAUAAUUUUGUUGCAAUUUUUGAGAAAUAUAAUGGCAAUUGACUUGCUUUACAUUAAGUCUUGCAAAUUUCAAAGCUCAAAUGAAUAUAUUUUGUAAGAUCCGUGCGGGAAACAUAUUGAUUUCAUGUAAAAUAGCAAUAUUUUUAAUAUGCCUUCUGGAUUUCGAAAUGUCAAAGGAGACAAAAAAAAAUAUUUUUGUAUUAUUUUUUAAUGUGUCCUGAAUUGCAUCAACUAGAAAUAUUAUAGUUGUGGAAAAAGAUCAAAGAAGAGAUGCGCCUAAGGCAUGGUCCUUUUGGAAUAACAAGGUUAAAAUUUACCCCAAAUAUAGAUAAUAACAAGACAUAACUGUAUCCAACAGGUCAAGAAGGGACCUGUUCUAAUAUUAAUUGGAUUAUUUUAUAUGUCCUUUUUAUUGUUUUACUCCCUUCGUCCCACUUUGAUAGUCCUGUUUCUUUUUUCACACAGUUUAAGAAAAAAUAGCUAACUUUGUUGGAACAGUAAAUUUAAAUUGCUUUGUUCCUAAAAUACCUUCACAUUAAAUAUGGUACAACUUUAUGAGAACUUAAAUUGAUGGUAAAAAAAGGAUCAACUCUCAUUAAAUGGGGUAGAUUUAUAGUAAUAACUACUUACAUUGAAUAAGGGCAUUUUAGAAAAAUUAAAAUACAACUACAUUCUUUAAUUGAAAAGUGGACUACAAUUUGGGACAGAUGGAAAAGGAAUACAAAACUAUCAAAGUGGGACGGAGGGAGUAUUAAUUUUAUGAAUUUUGGGAUGUUUUAUGCUGAGAACAAGGCUCAGUUAUUCUUGACACGUCUUUUUUUUUAGGGGUUGCCGAUGCAAAGAACGUUGUGUGUGUGAUUAAGGUCAAGUAUGAUCAGGUCAUUAUGGUCUUUGUGAUUGAUGUCAUGAACUUCCAGCUCCAUUUUCAGAUAAAACAUCUGUUAUUUAACGAUUAUUCAAAAGAAUUGCUAUUUAUAAAAAGCUCGAAUCACCAAAAAAAAAAAUGAUGCAAAAUAUUAGAAAAAAUUUAAAAAAAAAUGAAUAAUCGAGCAUUUACUUGAUGGAGAGUUCUUCUUCCGACUCGGAAUACCAUUCAGAAUCCUACCAUUUCGACCUGUCCCCGGAACCUAACUCCUAGCAAUUGAUGAAUCAGUUGAGAAAACAUCAAUGUUUUUUUUUGCAAAAUGGUAUUCAGCCAAAAAACCUAUUUUGCAAAAAAUCAUAGGGGUAUUUUGGGAACUUUAGUGAUGAAACAGUAGUAAGUUCAUCUUACCUUAUAAUGCUAUCAUAAAGCCCAAUAAACUGACCAACAAUCACAAAGUAAUAAAUGCAGGAAAGUCUGUACUCUUUCAUCUACUGGAAGUUCUUCUCAUCUCCUCUCUCUCUCCCUCAUUUUUUCCCCUUGGAAAAUGAUGGGUGGUACGAGCCUUGAAAUGCAGUUCUGUAAUGUCAUCUUCAACCCCCAACCGACCCCACCUCAUAAUUCUGCAAUAUCAAGCAAUUUGACUUCGGAAUCAAGAUUAACCAACUUACAAGAACUACGCAAAUGAUGAGACAUGGAUCAAGUGUUUAUGCGAUGCACCCAAAAAAAAAAAAAAGUGAUUCUCUUUUACUGCAAUUUAGAACAAAAAAUAAAAACUGUUUGAGCUUGGCAAUGACAUGUCUUGCCUUGAUUUCUUCUUCUGGAGACGGUACCAGACCCUCAUCAGCCAUGACCUACAUAAAU
rnacentral:lncRNA from 1 species